UAGGCCUGCCCUCUCUCUGGGGGCCCCGGGAUGGUGACUGGAAUGGAUUCUCUCUCUAAGACAUGGUGGUCAGCUCCCGACAACGUGGGUCUGCUUCCUGCCUCAUUGUUUGCUGGAAAUUCAGGCUCAGGAAGAUGCGUUCGCUCCGAGGCUUACAAUGAAGCGCAGGGAUAGUCCACGUGAUGCAGGCAUGACUCCAAAUGCAGAGCUCUCCCGCCAACAUUUUGAAUUAUCUUACAUAAAUUCUUUGUCUCCGUGUUCAUCUCACCCUCCUCGGGCUCAGUUCAGCAUAAAUGAUACUAAACACUUAUUGGCAUAAAGGAUUUUAAAAGGAAGACUCUCUAAAAUAAAAGAAGACUCUCUUGUCUUAUGGGUACCUUUUGUUAUGAGCUGUGAUGAAAACCAAGAGCGCAUCAUUCAAACACACAUUAAUGAGGGUGGAUUUUGUCAGGGCAUAAAUAAAGGCAGAGUACAAAACCAGUGGAAGAGUGGCUGUCAAAGACUUUGGAAGAUCCAGCAGAUGAAGACUUGGCAUGUCUCAUUGGCUUUAGUAGCACUGGGGCCAUUGACCAGCUUAAUGGCAUAACGGACCAUGGCAACUGCACUGGUAGGGGUACAAGGUGGACUGAACGAGAAGUGGGAAGCUUGAGACAAGGAGUAUAGAUUAUUCUUCUGAGAAGUUGGCAGUAAAGGGAAGAAGUAUUUAAGAAAACAUAUGGACGGGAACAUGAGUCAGGAAGAAUGCUUUUCAUUGUACUGGAAUUUCAUGCGUACUUUCUCUUGAAUCUUUCCAUCUUCUCCUAUAAGUUGAUGCAAGAGUAAUUGUGCUUUUGGCAUUGUUGAAAUUUGCUAUUUGAUAUUGGAUACACUCUUA